GCUGGGCACAAUGGCACACACCUGUAAUCCCAGCAUCUUGGGAGGCUGAGGCAGGAGGAUCAUGAGUUUAAAGUCAGACUCAACAACUGGCUAGAGGCACUUAGUAAAUCAGUGAGACCCUGUCUCUA
rnacentral:sRNA from 1 species